rnacentral:sRNA from 1 species
UUGCGACAGGACAGCCUGGCUGGGGAGUCAAGGCUGCCAUCUCUCCUUGCUUUCAUUCUGGUUCCCCAUCGAUGUGGCGUGGGGAGAGGAGCAGGUGACUAUGAUGCUGGCUUGGCUGACACUGGAAUGGAUGCAGUGGCUGCAUAUUAAUGCUACGGCGUGCACAUGCAUAUGCCAGGGAAAAUUCAGUAGCAAGUUUUUACAACAUGAUUUCUGCUGCUUCUGUUGGACGGGCUCUCGGGCUUACCUACGUGUGCGAAGCAACACUCCCUACCGCAGCUUUCAUGCACGAUUUAACUCACCCCCGCCCUGCCUGCGUGGAGCCUCAUUUUUAUUUUGUAGGAGCUCGAAUCAUUAUUUGGAUAUUAAUAAAAACAAAUCUUGGCUGAUGCUAACCAUCUGAUUUCCUUUUUUUUUUUUUUCCAUUUUGUUUUGUUUUGUUUCUGCACACAUUUUCUUUAGCUUGAAAUGGCGAUUGAAAACCUCCAAAAAAGCGAAGGAAUCACAUCACACAAAAGCGGUUUACUCAACAGCCAUCUCCAGUGGCUGUUGGAUAAUUAUGAAACAGCGGAAGGUGUGAGUCUCCCCAGAAGUUCUCUUUACAACCACUACCUUCGGCACUGCCAGGAGCACAAGCUAGACCCAGUGAACGCUGCCUCCUUCGGGAAACUGAUCCGUUCUGUGUUUAUGGGGCUGAGAACGCGGCGGCUGGGCACCAGGGGCAACUCGAAGUACCAUUACUAUGGGAUUCGUCUGAAGCCAGACUCACCACUGAACCGGCUGCAGGAGGACACGCAGUACAUGGCCAUGCGGCAGCAGCCCAUGCACCAGAAGCCCAGGUACCGGCCAGCCCAGAAGACGGACAGCCUCGGGGACAGCGGCUCCCACAGCGGCCUGCACAGCACUCCAGAACAGACCAUGGCCGUGCAGAGCCAGCACCACCAGCAGUACAUAGAUGUCUCUCACGUCUUCCCCGAGUUCCCAGCGCCCGACCUGGGCAGCGUCCUGCUGCAGGACGGCGUCACACUGCACGACGUCAAGGCCCUGCAGCUGGUGUACAGACGGCACUGCGAGGUGACCGCCCCAGCCCAGGCAGGCAGCUCCUACGUGUCCCUCCCGGGAACCGCCAGCGCUCAGGCCAGGCGUCCCCGGGUGACGCUGAGGAGCUGGAGCCCCGAGCCCCCCCACAAGCAUCCUCUCUGAAGCAGCAGCCCCUCCGCAUCCAUGUCCAUCGCCUGCUCCUCUCCUCUCUGUGGCCUCCCUUGGGAUUCCAGGGCACCCCGCUGCAGCCCGGAUCACGGCUGCUCACUUGAC